CCUGAGGGACGGCACGGGGCGGGAUGCGAUGCGCCUGAACGGGCCGGGGGCGGCUGUGGGAGUGGGGGCUGAAGGGCUCCUGGCCCGGCCCUCAAUGGCUCCUGGUCCGGCCUGAGGGGACAUCGACCCUCAGUUCCAUCCCGCUUCUGAAAGUGCUGAGCAAAUAAUGUGAUGAGCCAUAGCUGCUCUGUUUCCGUUCCACACGUGUGGAAUGAACAGUUUCCAAGGCUGCUUGCUUACUGAAAAUGCUCCAUGUUUUGAGGGGAGAAGUGACUCUGAAUCUCCAGUGAGCUGCCUCGUACCACCUCGGAUCUGGGUGACAAGAUAGGAAAAAGCAAGACAGAGCUGCUUCGUGUUGCCUGUUCUGAGGCAAAAAUUUCUGUACUGCAUGCUGCUGAACUCUCAGACUGCUGAGCACUGUGGGAAGAAUAGGACUUUGGUUGGGAGAUUCACUGUUACUCAGCAUGUUUGCUGAGUAAAUAAAGUCAUUACCUUUUCCUUUGAAUCUGUGUAAAUUUUGUGUGGGGAGAGAGGUCAGCCACAAAGGGCUCUUCGCUACAUGCCUUUCCACUUGGAAAAGACGAAGCCUUGUCUAUGGCCUUCUAAUGCAGUCACAUACCACAGAGCGUGCUGCCUCUGUUUAAUACCUAACAUUUCCUUUCUGCACAGUCAUCAGACCUGUCUGCUUUUAAUAAAGGCUUGUGGGACUCUGACAAACAUGACUCCAUCUGUCUGUUCCACUUCAAGGCUGUCAGUGUUCAUUUUAGGCUGUGUUUCUUGCAGGCAAUGUCUCUCUGUUAGCUGUCCUUGCAAGGUUUCUUCAAAUUAGAUUCAGUCAGCAGCACGGAAGAGAACAAAAACGUUCACUGUUUAUGUAUGUUAACAAGUCUAUUCCCUGUAAUGAGAAACAAUACAAAUGAAAAGUAUUAUUGA